CGAACCUUCGGGUUAGCGGCGAACGGGUGAGUAACACGUGGGCAACCUGCCCCGAGCUCUGGGAUAACCCCGGGAAACCGGGGCUAAUACCGGAUAUGACAUCGACAGACAUCUGUCGUUGUGGAAAGUUUUUCGGCUCGGGAUGGGCCCGCGGCCUAUCAGCUUGUUGGUGGGGUAACGGCCUACCAAGGCGACGACGGGUAGCCGGCCUGAGAGGGCGACCGGCCACACUGGGACUGAGACACGGCCCAG
rnacentral:rRNA from 1 species